GGUCCCGUAGCUCAGCUGGUUAGAGCGUCGUACUAAUAAUUCUUAUAAAUAAGAAUGAUUAAGUGAUGCGAAGGUCGCGAGUUCGAUCCUCUCCGGGACCA